ensembl:lncRNA
CCCUCACAGACGCUGAGAGCAGAUGUGAAGUCUGUGCACUUGAGAGUCCGGGUUGGGGGUGAAGGAGGAAUUUGAGAGGCAAAGCUGAAAGGCAGAAAGAAUGAGGAGCUCUCUGAGCCUAGGGAAUCUGGACUUGCUUGCAAAGCCAGACCGACCGUGAAGUUCCUUCCUUCACACCGCCUUCAUAAAGGUUGAUUCUUUACCACUGAGCCAUCUGGGAGGCCCCUGUGAAAAUAUAAACCACUACAAUUCAGUUUUACCCUACCUGCCUGGGCUGGAAGUCAGAAACCCAGAAAAUGUAAGAGAAGAAACCUCUUAGAACUUGGAACAAGAUUGACCAAGAAAAAAAAAGAAUGAAGGAAAAGAAAAGACACUCUAUGAGAUGAUCUGUAAAUGUGUUACGAAGAACAGGGUGGCCCCCAAAUGUCAUUAGAGUAAAAUAAACCAUCUGUCACCUAAGUGUCACAUGCCCAGUUGAUGCUGUCAUAAGAGAGGGGUGGGGUCCAUAAAGAGUCUAGAACCUGCAGAAUCUGGAUAAGAAUGUAUUGUGG